rnacentral:lncRNA from 1 species
CAGUAAUUUAUCCUGCCAGCAUUUAAUUUGAUGGGAUACUGUACAGCAAGAAUUGUUCUUCCCCAGUGAUAUGUGUUCCCUGGCCAGAUGAGAUGUCCUGUCAGAUCUUAAAAAGGGGAGACCAUUCCCAUCUUCAGGUCAUACACUAACAGUGCUGGAAUGUACUGCCAUGUCCUUGCCAGCAGCCUCUACACACCCGACCCCAUGGGCAAAAGGACUGGAAGGCCAGGCACAGGCCAGGUUUUCUUUGCCCAUUUUUCUACAAACCAGGCAGCUUUCCUGGGAUUUUUUCCCUUUAGCCCAGGGCUUGUGUCUCUGCUCCACAACAAGAUGUUCUGCAGCUUCCUGGGCCAGGAUGAGAAACAGUGCUGUACUGGGUUGAAAGGAUUUAAAUCCUUUUUAAAACCCUUUCUUGUAUAAUAAUUCAGAAAAAAAAAACAUUUAAAGGCCACAAUGUGUUACAGUAAAACAUCUUCCUCUUAGGCUUAUAUGUACAGGUGGCCCACGCAGCCAAGCUCCCUUCCCAAAAGAAUACAGGUAAGAUUAAUGUAGCAUGGCCCAUGUCUGAAAGGACCAGUAACAGGGAAAAACAAACAACAACAACAACAAACCACAGAGACAACCAGAAAGGAUCCCCAAAAACAUGAUCAACACCCUUUUGUGUGUUGGGGGGGUGUUGAGAGC